CCUACGGGGGGCAGCAGUGGGGAAUAUUGGACAAUGGGCGAAAGCCUGAUCCAGCCAUGCCGCGUGUGUGAAGAAGGCCUUCGGGUUGUAAAGCACUUUCAGUGGGGAAGAAAGCCUUGGGGCUAAUACCCUCGAGGAAGGACAUCACCCACAGAAGAAGCACCGGCUAACUCCGUGCCAGCAGCCGCGGUAAUACGGAGGGUGCGAGCGUUAAUCGGAAUUACUGGGCGUAAAGCGCGCGUAGGCGGUCUGAUAAGCCGGUUGUGAAAGCCCCGGGCUCAACCUGGGAACGGCAUCCGGAACUGCCAGGCUAGAGUGCAGGAGAGGAGGGUAGAAUUCCCGGUGUAGCGGUGAAAUGCGUAGAGAUCGGGAGGAAUACCAGUGGCGAAGGCGGCCUUCUGGACUGACACUGACGCUGAGGUGCGAAAGCGUGGGUAGCAAACAGGAUUAGAUACCCCAGUAGUC
rnacentral:rRNA from 1 species